UAAUAGCAACAUGUUCUGUGUUUCUGUCGUAUCACCUUUAUAUUCUAUCUGUGUCGGUGUUCUGUGUGUUCUGUGGUAUCACCUUUAUAUUCUAUCUGUGUCGGUGUACAAGUGUGUUUGGUGUGUUCUGUGAUAUUGCUGACGGUUGCUUGUAGCGGAUCCUUGAGACCCCUUUCAAGUUUGACUAUUUUGUUCUCAACUAUUCUGAUUCAAGCAAACAGGGCGGCAUGAGGAAGCUGUAACUGUUCGUGAUGCUGAGAUCCAGAAAGUUCUUCGGUUACGCAUUUCAGAAAGUAAAGCAACUAGGAAGUUCUUCAGUUCUAUGCAUUUCAGAAUAUUCUUUAUCCAUACCGGUGUUCCGAGAAGUGGAAUUACUGCAAGCGUAGGUAAAUAAGUUUCCGUAUAUACGCGAUCAUGUGGGUUUCUGAAGUGUGUGUGAUUCAUGGUUGCAUGACUAU
rnacentral:lncRNA from 1 species